CACGUAGGGCGCAAGCGUUGUCCGGAAUUAUUGGGCGUAAAGAGCUCGUAGGCGGUCUGUUACGUCUGCUGUGAAAACCCAGGGCUUAACCCUGGGCUUGCAGUGGAUACGGGCAGACUAGAGGCAGGUAGGGGAGAAUGGAAUUCCCGGUGUAGCGGUGAAAUGCGCAGAUAUCAGGAGGAACACCGGUGGCGAAGGCGGGUCUCUGGGCCGAAACUGACGCUGAGGAGCGAAAGCGUGGGGAGCGAACAGG
rnacentral:rRNA from 1 species